rnacentral:lncRNA from 1 species
CAGCUCAGUAUGUCCACCUCAACAACUUAAGGUGUGCUUCCUCACCUCUUUAAGCCUCAGUUUCCUCAUCUGUUAGUUGGUCUAUUUGUUUCUACUUAAGAGGACCUAUGAGGAUUAAAUGAUAUGAAAUGUAAAACUUCAAUGAAUAACUUUCACAAAUCCUAAUAUUUGUCUUUAUCUUUUUCUUAUUCCUGGACUCAGAGGUCAGGCUUCUCUGGGUUGACCCUGUGCAUACCGUUCUGCUUACAGGCUUCUCGUCACUUCAAUCCAUAGACCCUUUCUAAUCCUGUGCCCUUACGAACUGGCACCAAUUCCUGCCAGAUAGGAUGAACCGCUCAGAAGUGUUAUGAGGAGAAGACCAUAAAAGGAAAGCAGAAUUCUGACCUACCCGCCAGCCAUAAACCACCCCUCACCCUGCAUGUCUAUCCGUACGACCACCAUAUGGAUUCAUUCUUCUCCUUUCUCUUGAGUAUGAGAACCAAGACAAUCCAUCACCUUCACCCAAGACAGCUGAGUGGAGCCAGCUCGGAGAUGAAUGGUUGAAGAACAUAAAGAAUAAUGACAUUAACAUAUACUGAUAUGAGGAAAAGUUUAAAAUUGCUUUCAGAAGAAAGGGGAGAGAGGAAAAAAAUGUCCUCCUACCGAAAGUUGUAAAAGGUAUUGGCUCUUUUGUAGCAGAAUCAUACCCUGGGUUGAUGCUAUUCAUAAUGAAUUCUGUGGUGGUGAUUUAUUUAUACCAAGUGUUUAAGAAACUUGCCAGAUUGGUGAAAAAUGCAUAGGUAUGCACUUUAGUCUGAUUCCAGACAUAAGAUAGGGGAAGAAAGAGCCAAUUUGGAAAAAGAGGGAGAUGGAGGAACCCAUAGGAGGCUUAUGGGGUGGUGGAGUGAAGAAGGAUAACAUUUUAUAAUCAAAACCACACAAAUAACAUGAGCAAGGUUUUCACUUGAAUGUCCCCCCCUCAUCAUCCAUUCCUAAGAUGACGAUAAGCUGUAAGUUUCAAGAUGGAGCCAAGGGCACAUUGAAAGCGGCACCAUGAUCAAUAGGAUCCCACAGGGUUGGGAUCCAGGCUGACCUGAUUUAAAUCCCAGGUUUGUCAGUGUCCAGUGUGUGACUUUGGGGAGUAACUUACCUUCUCUGUCUCCGUUUUCCUGGUCUCUGUAAUAUUGGCCCUAAUGACAUUAGUGAAACAAUGAAAAUUGAGUCAGAACAGUCAAAACAAACUUAAGCUGGAAACUUAAACAGCAGAAGUAAAAUUCAAACAGGAGCCUUUGGGAACCCAAGACUCCUUAAAGGAAUUCAAGGUCAAAAUCUAAGUUCGCACACUCCACUUCGGUAGCCUGGGAUUUUGCUGGUUUGGAUCCUGGGUGCAGACAAGGCACCACUCAUCAGGCCAUGCUGAGGCGGCAUCCCACAUGUCACAACCAGAAGGACCUAUAGCUAGAAUAUACAACUAUGUAUUGGGGGCUGUAGGGAGAAGAAGAAAGAAAGAAAAAAAAGAAGAUUGGCAAUAGAUGUUAGCUUAGGUGCCAAUCUUUUAAAAAAA